rnacentral:rRNA from 1 species
UUAAAAAUUGAAAUUUUUUUAAUUUGUGUAAAAACAAUUAUAUAAAUUAAAGACAAGAAGACCCUAAGAAUUUUUAAAAUUUAAAUUAACACAUUUUUGUUUUAAUUAAAUUUUAACUGGGGCGGUUAAAAAAUAUUAAAAACUUUUUAAUUUUGAAAAUGACCCAUUAUUAAUGAAAAUAUGAUAAAAUACUCUAGGGAUAACAGCGUUAUAUUUUUUGAUAGAUCAUAUUGACAAAAAAGUUUGCGACCUCGAUGUUGGAUUAGGAUACUUUUUUAAUGAAGAUAUUAAAAUAAGAAGUUUGUUCAACUUUUAAAUUCCUACUUGAUCUGAGUUCAGACCGGA